rnacentral:rRNA from 1 species
GACGAACGCUGGCGGCGUGCUUAACACAUGCAAGUCGAACGGAAAGGCCCUGCUUUUGUGGGGUGCUCGAGUGGCGAACGGGUGAGUAACACGUGAGUAACCUGCCCUUGACUUUGGGAUAACUUCAGGAAACUGGGGCUAAUACCGGAUAGGAGCUCCUGCUGCAGGGUGGGGGUUGGAAAGUUUCGGCGGUUGGGGAUGGACUCGCGGCUUAUCAGCUUGUUGGUGGGGUAGUGGCUUACCAAGGCUUUGAUGGGUAGCCGGCGUGAGAGGGUGACCGGCCACAUUGGGACUGAGAUACGGCCCAGACUCCUACGGGAGGCAGCAGUGGGGAAUAUUGCACAAUGGGCGGAAGCCUGAUGCAGCAACGCCGCGUGCGGGAUGACGGCCUUCGGGUUGUAAACCGCUUUCGCCUGUGACGAAGCGUGAGUGACGGUAAUGGGUAAAGAAGCACCGGCUAACUACGUG